UACCAUCGAUGGGAUUCGGGUCUCCUGGGA
rnacentral:piRNA from 1 species